rnacentral:rRNA from 1 species
CUAGUAAUCGCAAAUCAGAAUGUUGCGGUGAAUACGUUCCCGGGCCUUGUACACACCGCCCGUCACACCAUGGGAGUGGGUUGCACCAGAAGUAGAUAGCUUAACCUUCGGGAGGGCGUUUACCACGGUGUGAUUCAUGACUGGGGUGAAGUCGUAACAAGGUAACCCUAGGGGAACCUGGGGUUGGAUCACCUCCUUACCUUAA